GGAGUCGUGGUGUAGCCUGGUUAACACAUCCCCCUGUCACGGGGAAGAUCGCGAGUUCGAAUCUCGUCGACUCCGCCA
rnacentral:tRNA from 1 species